rnacentral:rRNA from 1 species
GACGAACGCUGGCGGCGUGCUUAACACAUGCAAGUCGAGCGGAGCGGCGAACGGGUGAGUAUUACGUGAGUAACCUGCCCUCAACUGUGGGAUAAGCCUGGGAAACUGGGUCUAAUACUGCAUAGUUGGGGAUGGGCUCGCGGCCUAUCAGCUUGUUGGGGGGGUGAUGGCCUACCAAGGCGGGGACGGGUAGCCGGCCUGAGAGGGUGGUCGGCCACGUUGGGACGGAGAUACGGCCCAGAGUCCUACGGGAGGCAGCAGUGGGGGAUAUUGCACAAGGGGCGCAAGCCUGAGGCAGCGACGCCGAGUGGGGGAUGAAGGCUUUCGGGUUGUAAACCGCGUUCGAACAGAACAGGGUAUGUGCAGAAGAAGCGCCGGCUAACUACGUGCCAGCAGCCGCGGUAAUAC